ACUAGGUUGACAGAUAAAUAAAGGCCAGAUUAAAAAGAAAGGUCUACAGCCAGUUUCUCUGGAUCCCAAAUAGAAGCAAAUGUAGAGAAUAUCACUAGGGGUGGAAAAGGACCAGCAGUCAGCCAGCGACAGGCCCAUAUGAAAACCUGACUUUUCUCUGAGUACUACAUCCAAGAAUUGAUAAAGUCAACUACCUAGGCUCCAGUACAAAGCACCUUCCUAAGCACUGCUGGAAAAGUGACCCUUUGCACAGGUCAACUGUGAUAGCUAAGAGGGAGAAAAGAAGAACAGACUUGACUGAUGGACACCCAGAUCCAUUAUUACAGAAAACUUAAAAUGAUGCUUGAAAUCACAGAUACGAACCAUGGAGAAGCAGAUUCUUUUGGCUAAUAGAAUUCUCUUACCUGAGAACUACAGUCAUGUGGAGACCUUUUUCAUGCAUAGUAUGUACUACUAGCUUUAUACAUCUGGAUGAACAGACAUGAUACACACAGGCAUGAAGAUGGGUUGGCUCCAGAUGCUUCCUUCACGCACACAGUGAGCAGCUCACUCUGCACUUUGGUCACAGAGAUCCCAUGCGCUGAGGCAAAGAGCAGAUCUGAAAGACACUUCCAGGAGUACACUUACUACAGUGGCACUCCAAGAAUUUCUGCAGCUUCUAUUCUCCUUUAUAGCGAGGGGGCCUCUUCUCUUUAAAAGCAAGAAGACCUUCAAGUCUGUCUUUUGUUGGAAUGGUCUAAGAAAAACAAAAGAUUAUAUACCAAAAAUUAAAAAUACAACCCUAAAAAUCUGUCAAGCAUUAUCUAAGAAAACUAAUCAGAUGUUCAUUCUAAAAUCCUGAAAUCUGUCAUUUGAAUAAUUCUCAAUAUUUGACUAAAUUCACUGUCCUUAUUCCAAAUGUUUCAUUUCAAAUGUACUUAAAAAGAAAUACCA